rnacentral:rRNA from 1 species
UGGGGAAUAUUGGACAAUGGGCGAAAGCCUGAUCCAGCCAUGCCGCGUGUGUGAAGAAGGUCUUCGGAUUGUAAAGCACUUUAAGUUGGGAGGAAGGGCAUUAACCUAAUACGUUAGUGUUUUGACGUUACCGACAGAAUAAGCACCGGCUAACUCUGUGCCAGCAGCCGCGGUAAUACAGAGGGUGCAAGCGUUAAUCGGAAUUACUGGGCGUAAAGCGCGCGUAGGUGGUUUGUUAAGUUGGAUGUGAAAGCCCCGGGCUCAACCUGGGAACUGCAUUCAAAACUGACUGACUAGAGUAUAGUAGAGGGUGGUGGAAUUUCCUGUGUAGCGGUGAAAUGCGUAGAUAUAGGAAGGAACACCAGUGGCGAAGGCGACCACCUGGACUAAUACUGACACUGAGGUGCGAAAGCGUGGGGAGCAAACA